ensembl:snRNA U6 U6 spliceosomal RNA
GUCUCAGAAAAACCAGCACGUGUGCUAACACUGGAACGAGACAGAGAAGAUUCCUCACAGCCUCUGCACAAGGAUGACACACAAAUCUGUGAAGCGAUCCAUAUUUCU